GACGAACGCUGGCGGCGUGCUUAACACAUGCAAGUCGAACGGAAAGGCCCUGCUUUUGUGGGGUGCUCGAGUGGCGAACGGGUGAGUAACACGUGAGUAACCUGCCCUUGACUUUGGGAUAACUUCAGGAAACUGGGGCUAAUACCGGAUAGGAGCUCCUGCUGCAUGGUGGGGGUUGGAAAGUUUCGGCGGUUGUGGAUGGACUCGCGGCUUAUCAGCUUGUUGGUGGGGUAGUGGCUUACCAAGGCUUUGACGGGUAGCCGGCCUGAGAGGGUGACCGGCCACAUUGGGACUGAGGUACGGCCCAGACUCCUACGGUAGGCAGCAGUGGGGAAUAUUGCACAAUGGGCGGAAGCCUGAUGCAGCAACGCCGCGUGCGGGAUGACGGCCUUCGGGUUGUAAACCGCUUUCGCCUGUGACGAAGCGUGAGUGACGGUAAUGGGUAAAGAAGCACCGGCUAACUACGUG
rnacentral:rRNA from 1 species